rnacentral:rRNA from 1 species
GUGUCAGCAGCCGCGGUAAAACGUAGGACGCGAGCGUUAUCCGGAUUUACUGGGCGUAAAGCGCAUGCAGGCGGCCUUGUAAGUCGGAUGUGAAAUCUCCCGGCUCAACUGGGAGGCGUCAUUCGAUACUGCAAGGCUUGAGGGCAGGAGAGGGGAGUGGAAUUCCCGGUGUAGUGGUGAAAUGCGUAGAUAUCGGGAGGAACACCAGUGGCGAAGGCGGCUCCCUGGCCUGUACCUGACGCUAAGAUGCGAAAGCGUGGGGAGCGAACGGGAUUAGAAACCCCGGUAGUCCACGCCGUAAACGAUGCGGACUAGGUGUGGGAGGUAUUGACCCCUUCCGUGCCGUAGCUAACGCGUUAAGUCCGCCGCCUGGGGAGUACGGUCGCAAGGCUAAAACUCAAAGGAAUUGACGGGG